GGGCCCGUAGCUCAGUUGGAUAGAGCAUCUGCCUUCUAAGCAGAGGGUCGCACGUUCGAAUCGUGCCGGGCCUACCA
rnacentral:tRNA from 1 species